GAUGAACGCUGGCGGCGUGCCUAAUACAUGCAAGUCGAGCGAACAGACGAGGAGCUUGCUCCUUCGACGUUAGCGGCGGACGGGUGAGUAACACGUAGGUAACCUACCUAUAAGACUGGGAUAACUUCGGGAAACCGGAGCUAAUACCGGAUAAUAUUUCGAACCGCAUGGUUCGAUAGUGAAAGAUGGCUUUGCUAUCACUUAUAGAUGGACCUGUGCCGUAUUAGCUAGUUGGUAAGGUAACGGCUUACCAAGGCAACGAUACGUAGCCGACCUGAGAGGGUGAUCGGCCACACUGGAACUGAGACACGGUCCAGACUCCUACGGGAGGCAGCAGUAGGGAAUCUUCCGCAAUGGGCGAAAGCCUGACGGAGCAACGCCGCGUGAGUGAUGAAGGUCUUCGGAUCGUAAAACUCUGUUAUUAGGGAAGAACAAACGUGUAAGUAACUGUGCACGUCUUGACGGUACCUAAUCAGAAAGCCACGGCUAACUACGUG
rnacentral:rRNA from 1 species